rnacentral:rRNA from 1 species
GAUGAACGCUGGCGGCGUGCCUAAUACAUGCAAGUCGAGCGAACAGACGAGGAGCUUGCUCCUCUGACGUUAGCGGCGGACGGGUGAGUAACACGUGGAUAACCUACCUAUAAGACUGGGAUAACUUCGGGAAACCGGAGCUAAUACCGGAUAAUAUAUUGAACCGCAUGGUUCAAUAGUGAACGACGGUUUUGCUGUCACUUAUAGAUGGAUCCGCGCCGCAUUAGCUAGUUGGUAAGGUAACGGCUUACCAAGGCAACGAUGCGUAGCCGACCUGAGAGGGUGAUCGGCCACACUGGAACUGAGACACGGUCCAGACUCCUACGGGAGGCAGCAGUAGGGAAUCUUCCGCAAUGGGCGAAAGCCUGACGGAGCAACGCCGCGUGAGUGAUGAAGGUCUUCGGAUCAUAAAACUCUGUUAUUAGGGAAGAACAAAUGUGUAAGUAACUAUGCACGUCUUGACGGUACCUAAUCAGAAAGCCACGGCUAACUACGUG